UGCUUGGGUAGCUCAGUUGGUAGAGCACUUGCCCGGGAAAGGCAAAGGUCCCGAGUUCGAGUCUCGGUCCGGCAC
rnacentral:tRNA from 1 species